GGGGGAGGGGGAGAGGGGGCCUCAAUAAAAAAAUGAGGGCAGGCCUCACAUGCUGUACAUUACAUUUACAUGUAACUCAGUCCAGAGUAAAAAUAGGCAAAAAUCCAACAUAAAAACAAAAUUAUAUUAUUUAACGAACAAAAAUUGGGUAAUAAAUUUCAAGUUCAAGAAUUGAAGAAUAGGGUACAAAACCAGAAAAGAAAACACAAAUAUCACUUUACAUCAAACAAUCCUAAAAAUUGAAUAAUUUUUUCUUAUUUAAUGAAAACAACCCAUUAAAGAUAUUAGACAAACAGUUCGAAUUUCUGUCAUUUCUUGAAGUGCUUAACCUUGUACCAUCCUUUCUUGCAAGAAUCCCCAACAAUCUUGAAACCCUUUUUGAAUAUAAUCUGGAGCUCCUUUGCUCUGUCCUUUACCUGAUUCUCGAAGCCUCCCAUUUUUCCGAAACAAACACAGUAUAGAGAGAGAGAGAGAGAAGUUUUAUUAUAGUAGAGAUUUGAGCUUAAAAGUGAUAAAUAAAAAUGGUGGGAUUGAGGUUUAUAAGGUUGUAGGAAAGUGGUGGGAUCCAACACACAGUGGGGACGUGGC
rnacentral:lncRNA from 1 species